CAGCAGUGGGGAAUAUUGCACAAUGGGCGCAAGCCUGAUGCAGCCAUGCCGCGUGUAUGAAGAAGGCCUUCGGGUUGUAAAGUACUUUCAGCAGUGAGGAAGGUGGGUAUGUUAAUAGCAUACUCAUUUGACGUUAGCUGCAGAAGAAGCACCGGCUAACUCCGUGCCAGCAGCCGCGGUAAUACGGAGGGUGCGAGCGUUAAUCGGAAUUACUGGGCGUAAAGCGCAUGCAGGUGGUUUGUUAAGUCAGAUGUGAAAGCCCCGGGGCUCAACCUCGGAAUUGCAUUUGAAACUGGCAAACUAGAGUACUGUAGAGGGGGUAGAAUUUCAGGUGUAGCGGUGAAAUGCGUAGAGAUCUGAAGGAAUACCGGUGGCGAAGGCGGCCCCCUCGGACAGAUACUGACACUCAGAUGCGAAAGCGUGGGGAGACAAACAGGAUUAGAUACCCUGGUAG
rnacentral:rRNA from 1 species